rnacentral:rRNA from 1 species
AGAACUGCCGUUGAUACUGCUAGUCUUGAGUAUAGUUGAGGUAGCUGGAAUGAGUAGUGUAGCGGUGAAAUGCAUAGAUAUUACUCAGAACACCGAUUGCGAAGGCAGGUUACCAAGUUAUAACUGACGCUGAGGGACGAAAGCGUGGGGAGCGAACAGGAUUAGAUACCCUGGUAGUCCACGCCGUAAACGAUGCUAACUCGUUUUUGGGCUUUAGGGUUCAGAGACUAAGCGAAAGUGAUAAGUUAGCCACCUGGGGAGUACGACCGCAAGGUUGAAACUCAAAGGAAUUGACGGGGGCCCGCACAAGCGGUGGAUCAUGUGGUUUAAUUCGAUGAUACGCGAGGAACCUUACCAAGGCUUAAAUGGGAAUUGACAGCUGUAGAAAUACGGUUUUCUUCGGACAAUUUUCAAGGUGCUGCAUGGUUGUCGUCAGCUCGUGCCGUGAGGUGUUAGGUUAAGUCCUGCAACGAGCGCAACCCCUGUCACUAGUUGCCAUCAUUAAGUUGGGGACUCUAGUGAGACUGCCUACGCAAGUAGAGAGGAAGGUGGGGAUGACGUCAAAUCAUCACGGCCCUUACGCCUUGGGCCACACACGUGAUACAAUGGCCGGUACAGAGGGCAGCUACACUGCGAAG